rnacentral:rRNA from 1 species
AUUCCAGCUCCAAUAGCGUAUAUUAAAGUUGCUGCAGUUAAAAAGCUCGUAGUUGGAUUUGUGGCGCGGUCGUCCGGCGGGCCUCCUUCAAUGGGGGCGUUUGUCUGGUUUUUCGACCGCACCAUUCUCGGGUAGUGUGUCGCUGGCAUUAGGUUGUCGGCUUCUUCACGCCCGUCGUUUACUGUGAAAAAAUUAGAGUGUUCAAAGCAGGCUUAGGCCGUUGGAUACAUUAGCAUGGAAUAAUGAGAUAGGGCCACGACGGUCUAUUUUGUUGGUUUGCACGUUGUGGUAAUGAUUAACAGGAACGGUUGGGGGUAUUCGUAUUCAAUUGUCAGAGGUGAAAUUCUUGGAUUUAUGGAAGACGAACUACUGCGAAAGCAUUUACCAAGGAUGUUUUCAUUA